UACAGAGGGGGCAAGCGUUGUUCGGAAUUACUGGGCGUAAAGGGCGCGUAGGCGGCCUUCUAAGUCGAACGUGAAAUCCCCGGGCUCAACCCGGGAACUGCGUCCGAUACUGGAAGGCUUGAAUCCGGGAGAGGGAUGCGGAAUUCCAGGUGUAGCGGUGAAAUGCGUAGAUAUCUGGAGGAACACCGGUGGCGAAGGCGGCAUCCUGGACCGAGACUGACGCUGAGGCGCGAAAGCGUGGGGAGCAAACAGG
rnacentral:rRNA from 1 species